rnacentral:lncRNA from 1 species
UUUUUUGUCAAAAUAUUUUCUUCGGUAAACUUUAAAAUAUCAUCCUUAUAAUUUCGCAUUUUUGUUUUAUUUUAGUACCAUAUAAUUUAAAAUAUAUCAAUUUCCUAUUCUAUGGUUUCAUUUUUCUUCCUUCGCCAGCUCCUCCGUUAACAUUUCAUUAAAUUAUAUACAAAAAACUUCAGAUACCCAACUUAAGUCUAUCGAAUAUUUACUUUAGUAACUUUUAGUUUUAACUUUGUCACUGAUUUAAUAUAAAGAAAUUAGUGGAGGAGAUAAUAAAAAGAAAAAAUAAAACCACAUAGCACUAAAUUAAUAUACUUUGAACUAUAGGAUAUUAAAAUAAAAAAGUACGAAACCACAUGAGUGGUAUUUGGAGUUUUUCUAAAAAUUUUAACCAAUUUUAAAAAACUACACUUUUGGUCCUCAUGUUAUGAGGCAUAUGAUACUUUGGUCUUCAAACUUCAAUUAAAUACAAUUCUGGAUCAAACCAUAAUUUAUUACUCUUAUGAUUUUAGUCCUCAACUUUAUUGAUAUUAUAAAUAUAAUUUAUUACUACUAUGAUUUUAUCUUUAUUUUUUUUAUUCUUCUUGUCCAUUUAUUUUUAAUUUCUUCUAUGUUUUAUGUUUUAUUCUUUAAUUUUUUUAUAUUUUUAUUGUUUUAUAUAUUCAACUUUUUUUAUUUAUUUUACUUUUACAAAAUUUAUUCGUCGCAACACGCGAGUCUAUUCACUAGUAUAUAUAAAAACAAAGACUUUUAUAGUUUUAUUCUUUCUUCUAUUUAAAUUAAGCUCACAUCUUGUCUAAAGAUUUACACUAGGUUACCAUCCCCAUAGCACGAGAAAAUAAAAAUGGUUAUUUACAUAAACGUCCCUGCAAAUAUAGUAAAUUACAGAAAUAUUCCUGUAAAAUGGAAAUUCCAUAAGUUGUCCCUGCAAAAGUCCUAAGUUAUGCAGAUAUAUCCCUGUCGUUAAGAUCUGUUAGAAAAAUUGCAUUAACCACGGUUAAAAUACUUAACCAUAGUUAAUUAUAAUGUGAAUUGACAAAUUUACUCUUCUUCCUCUUCCUUCUCUUCCUUUACCCUCUUCUUCGUCGCCGGCGAGGAGAUGCGGCGGCGGCGGCGGCGACAGCAGCGGCGGCGAACCCUCUCCCUCUUGUCCGUGUGCGAGCUCGCCAGGGGCAUCACCUACUCCGACCCCCUCCCCACCUGCUAGAAGCCCCCGCUCCGCCUUCGCCGCAUGCCCCCCUCCCGCGCCGCCGAUCUCCGCCGCCGCUGGCAUAUCCUCGUCGACAACGACGAUGUCCCCCCGCCCAUCCCCUCCUUCCACGACAUGCGCCUCUCCGACCCCGUCCUCCGCAAGAUCCGAGAGAAGGGCAUCGUCCGCCCUACCCCCAUCCAGGUCGAGGGCCUCCCCGUCGUCCUCUCCGGCCGCGACAUGAUCGACAUCGCCUUCACCGGCUUCGGCAAGACCCUCGUCUUCGUCCUCCCCCUCAUCAUGGCCGCUCUCCAGGAGGAGCUCAUCAUGCUCGUCAUCCCCGGCGAGGGCCCUUUCGACCUCGUCGUCUGCCCUUCCCGCGAGCUGGCCCGCCAGACCUUCAAGGUCGUCGAGCAAUUCCUCGCCCCGCUCAGGGACCACAGCUUCUCGGAGAUCCACCCCCUCCUCUGCAUCGGUGGCGAAUCCUCUCCAGCGGCGGACGACGGCGGCUGCGCCGGAGAGGGAGAGAAAGAGGAAAUACUUUUGGAGGGAUAUAUUUGUGAGGCUAAAAAAGUCAUUUCACAGAAAAAUUGUUAAAAAAUAAACAGUUCACUAACGGAUUUUAACAAGAGGAACAUAUCUUCAUAAAUUAGAACUUUUGUAGGGACAAUUUAUGAAAAUUUUAUUUUGCAGGGAUAUUUCUGCAAUUCAUCUUUUUUGGAGGGACGUACAUGUAAUUAACCCAAAUAAAAUAAAAAUUAUUUCAUAUUAUUUAAGAGUAGUGAGGUUUUCCUAACUCUGAAACCGGAAAAAGUCAAACACCAGAUCUGUUUACGCGGUUUUCUACUGAAGGGCAAAGCAUUUACUCCCAUGCUUGCUUUUAAUUUAUUGCAGAGGGAGAGAGAGAGAGAGAGAGAGAGAGAUAGAGAGAGAGGUCAUAACUUACUCCUGUUUCUCACUGAGAACCAUUAAUUAAAUUUUCAAAAUGACCUGAUCAUUGAUAUCUUCUCCCUGGUCUCUCUUUAAUCUUUACAUUUAACUGGGCACCUUCAUGCAUAUAUAGUGAGAUAGUUCUCAUUUAAUAAAAGAAAAGACAGAAUUUACUCUACUUACACUCAUAUAUAGCUGUAAUUUUAUUUACACCUCAGUUAAUUUAAAGUAUAUUAAAUUUCUCAAAACCUUUUAGUACUAAUAUAUAUAUAUAUAUAUAUAUAUAUAUAUAUAUAGUGUGAGGCUACUAUGCUAUUGAAAGCACGGAGUCUUCCGUGCUUCCAGCUCGUUUUCGAUGUUGCGAUUUUCGAAUCGUCG